rnacentral:piRNA from 1 species
UGAGUGGUGUCCGGUAUCUGUGUUGUGUA